UCUCCGAUGAAGCCGUAUCCCGGGGCGGGG
rnacentral:sRNA from 1 species